rnacentral:tRNA from 1 species
AGCUCAGUGGUAAAGCGUUUGCCUAGCAUGCAAAAGGCCCUGGGUUUGAUACCCAG